GAUGAACGCUAGCUACAGGCUUAACACAUGCAAGUCGAGGGGCAGCAUGAACUUAGCUUGCUAAGUUUGAUGGCGACCGGCGCACGGGUGAGUAACACGUAUCCAACCUGCCGAUGACUCGGGGGAUAGCCUUUCGAAAGAAAGAUUAAUACCCGAUGGCAUAGUUCUUCCGCAUGGUGGAACUAUUAAAGAAUUUCGGUCAUCGAUGGGGAUGCGUUCCAUUAGCUGGUUGGUGAGGUAACGGCCCACCAAGGCGACGAUCAGUAGCCGACCUGAGAGGGUGAUCGGCCACAUUGGGACUGAGACACGGCCCAA
rnacentral:rRNA from 1 species